rnacentral:rRNA from 1 species
UACGGAGGAUCCAAGCGUUAUCCGGAAUCAUUGGGUUUAAAGGGUCCGUAGGCGGUUUUAUAAGUCAGUGGUGAAAUCCGGCAGCUCAACUGUCGAACUGCCAUUGAUACUGUAAGACUUGAAUUAUUGUGAAGUAACUAGAAUAUGUAGUGUAGCGGUGAAAUGCUUAGAUAUUACAUGGAAUACCAAUUGCGAAGGCAGGUUACUAACAAUACAUUGACGCUGAUGGACGAAAGCGUGGGGAGCGAACAGG